UACAGAGGUCCCGAGCGUUGUUCGGAUUCACUGGGCGUAAAGGGUGCGUAGGCGGGUCUUUAAGUCAGGGGUGAAAUCCUGGAGCUCAACUCCAGAACUGCCUUUGAUACUGAAGAUCUUGAGUUCGGGAGAGGUGAGUGGAACUGCGAGUGUAGAGGUGAAAUUCGUAGAUAUCAGGAGGAACACCAAUGGCGAAGGCAGCUCGCUGGAACGGUACUGACGCUGAGGCGCGAAAGCGUGGGGAGCAAACAGG
rnacentral:rRNA from 1 species